AUUGAACGCUGGCGGCAUGCCUUACACAUGCAAGUCGAACGGUAACAGGUCUUCGGAUGCUGACGAGUGGCGAACGGGUGAGUAAUACAUCGGAACGUGCCCAGACGUGGGGGAUAACGUGGCGACAGCUUUGCUAAUACCGCAUACGAUCUAAGGAUGAAAGCAGGGGACCGCAAGGCCUUGCGCGUUUGGAGCGGCCGAUGGCCGAGUAGGUAGUUGGUGGGAUAAAAGCUUACCAAGCCGACGAUCUGUAGCUGGUCUGAGAGGGGGAGCAGCCACACGGGGACUAACGGCCGGCCUGGGCUCGAGCGGGGGGCAGCAGUGGGAAAGUGUGGACAAGGGGGGAAUGCCGGACCCAGCAAUGCCGCGUGAAGAAGGAAGGCCUUGGGGUGGAAAACUGCUUUUGUACGGAACAAAAAGGUUCUGGGUAAUACCGGGGGAACAUGGCGGAACCGUAAAAAAAAGCACGGGCAAACUACG
rnacentral:rRNA from 1 species